AACAAACUGGUGCAAAUGAGUUAUGAUCGUUUACCUUACGACUUGAAAGCAUGCUUUUUAUAUUGUAGUGCAUUUCCUGGAGGCUUUCAAAUCCCUGCUUGGAAGUUAAUCCGUUUGUGGAUUGCGGAAGGAUUCAUACAGUAUAAAGGCCAUUUAUCUCUUGAGUGUAAAGGAGAGGACAACUUGAAUGAUCUCAUCAAUAGGAAUCUAGUGAUGGUAAUGGAAAGAACUUCUGAUGGUCAAAUCAAAACAUGUCGUCUUCAUGACAUGUUGCACGAGUUUUGCAGGCAAGAAGCUAUGAAGGAAGAAAAUCUUUUCCAAGAAAUAAAGUUAGGAUCUGAGCAAUAUUUUCCUGGAAAACGAGAACUAUCCACCUACCGUCGCUUAUGCAUCCAUUCCUCAGUUUUGGAUUUUUUCUCUACGAAACCUUCAGCUGAACAUGUCAGGUCAUUCUUAUCUUUUUCUUCGAAAAAGAUUGAGAUGCCAUCUGCUGACAUCCCAACCAUACCCAAAGGCUUUCCGUUGCUAAGGGUUUUGGAUGUAGAAUCAAUCAACUUCAGUCGCUUUUCCAGGGAGUUUUACCAGUUAUAUCAUUUGAGGUAUGUUGCUUUUUCAUCUGACUCAAUCAAGAUUCUUCCUAAACUCAUGGGAGAACUUUGGAACAUCCAAACCAUCAUAAUUAACACGCAACAACGCACUCUUGAUAUUCAAGCAAACAUAUGGAAUAUGGAACGACUAAGGCAUCUGCACACUAACUCUUCCGCUAAGUUGCCUGUCCCUGUUGCUCCAAAAAAUAGUAAGGUUACAUUGGUAAAUCAAAGCCUGCAAACUCUCUCCACCAUAGCUCCCGAAAGCUGCACCGAGGAAGUGUUUGCGAGGACUCCAAACCUGAAAAAGCUGGGCAUCCGUGGGAAAAUAUCAGUGCUUCUUGAUAAUAAGUCUGCUGCGUCGUUAAAAAAUGUGAAGAGGCUAGAAUACCUUGAAAACUUGAAGCUGAUAAAUGAUAGUAGCAUUCAAACAAGUAAGUUACGCCUUCCACCUGCAUACAUAUUUCCAACAAAGUUGAGGAAGCUGACUUUAUUAGACACGUGGUUGGAGUGGAAAGAUAUGUCUAUAUUGGGUCAGUUGGAACACCUUGAAGUCCUGAAGAUGAAAGAAAAUGGGUUUUCGGGAGAGUCCUGGGAGUCUACUGGUGGUUUUUGUUCCCUACUGGUGUUGUGGAUUGAAAGGACAAACUUAGUUUCAUGGAAAGCAUCAGCUGAUGAUUUUCCAAGACUUAAGCAUCUCGUUCUCAUCUGCUGUGAUAAUCUUAAGGAAGUCCCCAUCGCCCUAGCUGAUAUACGCAGUUUCCAAGUCAUGAUGUUGCAAAAUUCCACCAAAACAGCAGCAAUAUCUGCACGUCAAAUACAAGCCAAAAAAGACAAUCAAACUCAACAAGGGACUAAAAACAUUGCCUUCAAGCUUUCCAUAUUCCCUCCUGAUCUCUGAUUGUGUGCACUUCUCCUUCACAGGUCCUCAAUGAAUCACAUUGCAUGAGGGCUGGUACCCUAGCUUGGAUAAAGAAACAGCCUAUAUCUAUCUAGUGUUUCAUAAUUCUUGAGUCAAUGUCAGUUUUUCAUGGUUGUUGUCUUCUUGAUUGUGGCCAUAGCCUGUAUGUUCUUGAUUUUGUGGUAUGUUAAUCUGUAUGAACAAUGUAUUUUGUACUUACAAUAAGAGUUGAUCUAUUGUGUAGUCUUUGGCUUCAGAGCUGUCACUUGUGUAAUA
rnacentral:misc_RNA from 1 species